CAGACUAUAUUUAAUAUACCGGUUCUCGUUAGAUCACCGAAGUCAAGCAUCAUUGGGCGCGGUCAGUACUUGGGUGGGUGACCACCUGGGAACAUCGCGUGCCGUUG
rnacentral:rRNA from 1 species